rnacentral:rRNA from 1 species
UACGGAGGGUGCAAGCGUUAUCCGGAUUCACUGGGUUUAAAGGGUGCGUAGGUGGGUUGGUAAGUCAGUGGUGAAAUCUCCGUGCUUAACAUGGAAACUGCCAUUGAUACUACCGGUCUUGAAUUUUCUGGAGGUAAGCGGAAUAUGUCAUGUAGCGGUGAAAUGCUUAGAUAUCAGGAGGAACACCGGUGGCGAAGGCGCUCAUCGUGCCCAAUACUGACGCUGAGGCGCGAAAGCCAGGGGAGGCGAACGGG